UUAAGUUCAGCGGGUAUCCCUACCUGAUCCGAGGUCAACACUAGAAGGAAGGGUUGGUUUCGGCGGGACGGGUGACUACGCUUCGCGAUGCAAAAUGCUCACUACGCUGACGUUGACACCGUCGUCUGCCAUUGGAAUUCGGGACGGACCGCCGCUGUGGACGCUCCAGCCCCAAGACCAAGCAAUUCAAGCUUGAGAGG
rnacentral:misc_RNA from 1 species